rnacentral:rRNA from 1 species
GACGAACGCUGGCGGCGUGCCUAAUACAUGCAAGUAGAACGCUGAAGCUUGGUGCUUGCACCGAGCGGAUGAGUUGCGAACGGGUGAGUAACGCGUAGGUAACCUGCCUGGUAGCGGGGGAUAACUAUUGGAAACGAUAGCUAAUACCGCAUAAUAGUAGAUGUUGCAUGACAUUUGCUUAAAAGGUGCAAUUGCAUCACUACCAGAUGGACCUGCGUUGUAUUAGCUAGUUGGUGAGGUAACGGCUCACCAAGGCAACGAUACAUAGCCGACCUGAGAGGGUGGUCGGCCACACUGGGACUGAGACACGGCCCAGACUCCUACGGGAGGCAGCAGUAGGGAAUCUUCGGCAAUGGACGGAAGUCUGACCGAGCAACGCCGCGGGAGUGAAGAAGGUUUUCGGAUCGUAAAGCUCUGUUGUAAGAGAAGAACGAGUGUGAGAGUGGAAAGUUCACACUGUGACGGUAUCUUACCAGAAAGGGACGGCUAACUACGUG